AAGUCGUAACAAGGUAACCGUAGGUGAACCUGCGGUUGGAUCAUUAACACGUUCCAACACGUAUCAACCAACUGUGCCUAUUCAAUCUCCCUGCAACCUGAUUUGCUUGACUGCAAAGCAGUGCUGUGGGCCAAAUGAGACAAUGGAGGAGGGACGAGUGGAGGACACUGAGAUUCGUCUCAGCCCUCUGUCUCGCUCUCGCCUCUGCUGUCUCGAGCCGUCACUUUUUUCACCCCAUGAUCUUAUCUAACUAGUUGACUUAUUUACUCGAGUGUUGUCCUGUGUUCGCACCGGCACGCUUGUUUUCAUGUAACAAUGAAAAAAAUACAACUCUUAGCAAUGGAUAUCUUGGUUCUC
rnacentral:misc_RNA from 1 species